rnacentral:rRNA from 1 species
GACGAACGCUGGCGGCGUGCCUAAUACAUGCAAGUUGAGCGAUGAAGAUUGGUGCUUGCACCAAUUUGAAGAGCAGCGAACGGGUGAGUAACGCGUGGGGAAUCUGCCUUUGAGCGGGGGACAACAUUUGGAAACGAAUGCUAAUACCGCAUAACAACUUUAAACAUAAGUUUUAAGUUUGAAAGAUGCAAUUGCAUCACUCAAAGAUGAUCCCGCGUUGUAUUAGCUAGUUGGUGAGGUAAAGGCUCACCAAGGCGAUGAUACAUAGCCGACCUGAGAGGGUGAUCGGCCACAUUGGGACUGAGACACGGCCCAAACUCCUACGAGAGGCAGCAGUAGGGAAUCUUCGGCAAUGGACGAAAGUCUGACCGAGCAACGCCGCGUGAGUGAAGAAGGUUUUCGGAUCGUAAAACUCUGUUGGUAGAGAAGAACGUUGGUGAGAGUGGAAAGCUCAUCAAGUGACGGUAACUACCCAGAAAGGGACGGCUAACUACGUG